UACGUAGGGGGCAAGCGUUGUCCGGAAUUAUUGGGCGUAAAGAGCGUGUAGGCGGCCAUGCAGGUCCGUUGUGAAAACUCGAGGCUCAACCUCGAGACGCCGAUGGAAACCGUGUGGCUAGAGUCCGGAAGAGGAGAGUGGAAUUCCUGGUGUAGCGGUGAAAUGCGCAGAUAUCAGGAAGAACACCCGUGGCUAAGGCGGCUCUCUAGUACGGUACUGACGCUGAGACGCGAAAGCGUGGGGAGCGAACAGG
rnacentral:rRNA from 1 species